rnacentral:lncRNA from 1 species
CAUAUGAAAGUGUAAUCGUAUGCUAUCUUAAAUGGUUCCAAAUCAUGUGACUUUUCCUAUGUUUUAGUGUGAUUCUGAAUCUUGUUGGUAGCUACUGGAGUUGUAUAAUUUUAAAUAGGUAUUUUUUUGGCAAUGUUUGAGCUACCAAACUAUUUUUAACAAGUUUGCAGAUGCAAUCUGAAUCGUGUAGGCAUAGAUCUUUGUAGAGUAAUCAAUACUUUCUUACUGUAAAGUUCGUGCUGACAUUCCAAAACCAAUUAAUCUAAAUGUCCAAAAUAGAGAUUCACAGAAUUGUGCAGAAUGGAGAUGAAGCCGGGUCCCACACGUGUACAAAAAAUUGGCAACAAAAUUGCGGGCCCCACAUGAUUGUGUCUUUCCUAUAAGAAUUCUGUAAGCCAAGCAAAGCUCUUCCAAAAUCAAAGGUUUGGUUUCCCAUCUUUUCUGUCAUCUGAAGCAUCUUGUCUUCUUGUUGUGCAGGAAUGUUUGCCCCUCUUGUGGUGCUUUUACGCAAUCCUUUGGCGAAGGAACAGUUGGCUACUCAGAUUCUAACUGUAAUUCUUUUUUAUCUUUGUUUUGUUGCACAAAAGUUACAUAUUUACUAACUUGUAAAUGGAAUUGUAUAAUAUUACUCAAUUCAUCUGCUUUGUUUGGUGGAUCAAAUGUUCUAUCAUUAGUCUUAAGUUCAAGGAGCAAUAGCAGAUGAGCAAGCUUAGGCCUGUGGAUUAUGCGUUGAAAGAGCUUUUGACACUUCACUUUAGAUGCACUUUAGAUGGAAGGACCUAUUUCCAUGAUAAAAUCUAGAGUAUAAGACAUUAUUCCUAAGUGAAGAAUGCACAUUUCCUAUUGUUUAUCCUACUGCAUGUACCAUACAAUUUUACUUCUUGAUCCACAAGAAAUGUAGAACAUCUAAUAUUGUUCUUAUCUACUACUGUAUUGUGUUAUUAAUUCAUAAAAUUUAUAUUUAAAUAAUUGAAGUGGU